rnacentral:rRNA from 1 species
UACGUAGGGGGCAAGCGUUAUCCGGAAUCACUGGGCGUAAAGCGUCUGUAGGUGGUCAAAUAAGUCAACUGUUAAAUCUUGAGGCUCAACCUCAAAAUCGCAGUCGAAACUAUUAGACUAGAGUAUAGUAGGGGUAAAGGGAAUUUCCAGUGGAGCGGUGAAAUGCGUAGAGAUUGGAAAGAACACCGAUGGCGAAGGCACUUUACUGGGCUAUUACUAACACUCAGAGACGAAAGCUAGGGUAGCAAAUGGG